GCUUCGGGCCGACUGGGCUUUCCGCACACACACACACUCUGGCGGCAAUGCCUCAGAGAUCAUCCCACCAGAGAAGGAGAGUCAGCACAGCCGCUACGAGGAGGAUGGAGCGGAGACGCAUGGACCAAGGAAGGACCAUCAGCAACACGAGCAGCAGCCACAAGCACCGCUCCAAGAAGCUGGCCAUGCUCUCUAGGUACAUCCAGGACGUUCACUAUUCAAGCAGGAUGCUGCAGCGUAUAUCUCAGUGAAUGCUUUAAUGGACUGCUUCUGUCCAGGACCCUGGUGUUGUGUCAUUCUAAGCCCAAUGAUGAGUGUCUGGAGGAGCGUCACAUGGGGCAAGUGUCUGACGGGGGCAGGACCUGCGGACCAGUCUGGGACACAGACACAGGGACCCGAGCUGUGGAGAAUGGACAUUGGAGGACAGGUCACCGUUCCAGCCUGGACAUGAGAGGAGGCAGCGAGGCCACAACACGGGGUCCCCGAGAGAAUAAGAGGAGCAUGAGGAGGUCCUUCAGCAUCAAGGACAGCAGCAUCUGGAAGAUGUGUGUAGCAACUCAACCCACUGAGGAGGCUGGUGGGUUGCAAAUGACAGGACACGAGCCACAUGAUGGCACAGGACGACAAAGGUGAGGCAUUGCAUGCGUUCACUUUCUGUUUAGUUUCAUACAUAGUACAAAAGAAAACAGACAAAAUCACAGUAGAAACCUUGUGUUUUACUGGUGCCAUUGAAAGUGUCUGAGGCCUGAAGGCCACGUCACUUCAUAGAUGUCGUGCCUCUAUCUAUCCACGUGGGGGCGGCGUCUGUAUUGCAAGUAGACACUUUUAUAGUCAAGCUCCAACCUUAGCAACAGGGUCCAAUGGCGUCAUUGCUUCCUGUCUCUGCGCUGUCUGCAGACUCGUUGCUUGUUUGUUGUGCGUUUCUCUGUUUCACCUUGUCUCUUCAGAGGCUGCAGCUUCGUGCGCGCAGACAAACUGGCUCCGUUUAACGGACAGUGUCUAAUGGAAGCAGAGGAAGUGAGGAGCGAGGUAACAGCUCCUGACUCAUCAUGUUGUAUGUUCCUCUUCUAAUACUUGUCAACACAUGUCAGUCAAACAGUUAUCAGUGGUUUUCAUUAUUCAGACUAUACCUUACUAAAACAUGCACUUAUUAAGCUUAAUCCUUUGGUCAGUAUUUAAAAGCGUCCAUCAUAACAGUGAAAAUCUCAGAGGCACCAUUUAGCUUUAAUAAUUAAUAUUCACAAUUGCAUCACUCAUGCAGGUCUUUCCCUAAACCACAAAGUGUCAAGUGGAACAGUACUGAGUCCUGUUCAUGUUUCUACCCAUUGCUUCUCCUUCACUCACUCACACACCGGGGCCUCUCGGCUUCAGCGUCCCGCCCAAGGACACUUCCACACAUGAACCGUGACGUGUUCUAUGGCUUUAGUACAGGGAAUGAAAAUGGCUUGAUUAGUAACAGUGUAAUAGUGGAGUGUAUUUUCAUUGCUCCUGAGUGUCAGGGUUAUUUUAGGACUUAGGACUGCGUUGGCCUGCUGCCAAGUCUGUCUGAGUCACUUUAAGAGCUGUGAAACCCUAACAGCAGAAAAGCAUGUGACAGUGGACAUCACUGAUUCUGUCCCUUUGGUAUCGACAU
ensembl:lncRNA